rnacentral:rRNA from 1 species
CCUACGGGAGGCAGCAGUGAGGAAUAUUGGUCAAUGGGCGCAAGCCUGAACCAGCCAAGUCGCGUGAGGGAUGACGGUCCUAUGGAUUGUAAACCUCUUUUGUCGGGGAGCAAGGCCCGCCACGUGUGGCGGGAAGGAGAGUACCCGAAGAAAAAGCAUCGGCUAACUCCGUGCCAGCAGCCGCGGUAAUACGGAGGAUGCGAGCGUUAUCCGGAUUUAUUGGGUUUAAAGGGUGCGUAGGCGGAAGGUUAAGUCAGCGGUAAAAUGUCGGUGCUCAACACCGGCCUGCCGUUGAAACUGGUCUUCUUGAGUGAGCGAGAAGUAUGCGGGAUGCGUGGUGUAGCGGUGAAAUGCAUAGAUAUCACGCAGAACUCCGAUUGCGAAGGCAGCAUACCGGCGCUCAACUGACGCUGAGGCACGAAAGCGUGGGGAUCGAACAGGAUUAGAUACCCUGGUAGUC